UAGGGAAUAUUGCGCAAUGGACGAAAGUCUGACGCAGCCACGCCGCGUGAGUGAGGAAGGCCUUCGGGUUGUAAAGCUCUGUCAACUGGGAAAAACGAUUAUCCGGGGAAAGUUCGGGUAAUGUGAUGGUACCAGUGGAGGAAGCACCGGCAAACUCUGUGCCAGCAGCCGCGGUAAUACAGAGGGUGCAAGCGUUGUUCGGAAUUACUGGGCGUAAAGCGUGCGUAGUCGGUAUUGAGAGUCGCGGGUGAAAUCCCAGGGCUUAACCCUGGAACUGCCUGCGAGACCUCAGUACUAGAGUGUGAGAGGGGAUAGUGGAAUACCCAGUGUAGCGGUGAAAUGCGUAGAGAUUGGGUAGAACACCGGUGGCGAAGGCGGCUAUCUGGCUCACAACUGACGA
rnacentral:rRNA from 1 species